CUGUGCACAUUAUUUGAAGGGUCAUAUAAUUGACUAACGACGUGACCAUUCGAGCAUUAUUGACCAUAGACAUAGAAUUAAUAGAUGAAUAGACACCCGUUACAAAAUACAUAUACAUUCAUGUGCCAUACGUCGAGAGCUCCCCCAGCAUCAUUAUGAUGGAAGCAGUCAAUGGAGAAAAUUAAGGAUCUCCAUGUCUCGGUCGCCAUGCCUUCUAUCGAUCAAGGAUGGCACAGUUGGAGGUGGAACCCAGCCCGCACCUCCGCCCGCUUGCCUGAAUUUUGCUUGGCAUGAAGGGAGCAAGCAUGGAGUCGUCCGGUGCCGUGCAUUAGCUGCUAACGCAUGGCUCCUGGCCACCAUUGUUGCAGGGGCAGUCCUUUCAGGUUAGCUGUCCCUCACAGUCCGCAAUUUCCAUGGGGCAUGCAGCUCGUGAAGAGCCGGCAGCCACAUGAAGUACGCACAAACGGUCGAGCAAGGAUGUGUCCGAAAUCGCCCCAUAAUUGAAGGGGCUAAAAAAGAUACGGGCCCCUCCCCCUGCCCCGGGAAUCAAGCGAAUCGAGAGGUAAUAAUGGGAUCGAUGGGACCGAGAGGGAUUAAACCGAGUUGGAGAAAAGCCAACUCCUCACGGUUGGGUCCAUGAGUUCCCCCUGCGUCUCUUUCGUUAGGGACCAAUUUUGAGGGUCUUAACAUGGCGCAGUCCUAAAAUUAUGCAAAAAAAGGUUAAAUUUCAGUACUCCUAAAAAGUAUCAUUUUGGCUCAAUUAGUUUGGUUUCGGAGUUUGAUUUUAAAAUCAUGAUUUUGAUUUUAACUCUACCCACUACAUAAUAAAAACACACGUUUCCCAAGUCAAAUUUAAAUACCAUCUCAUUUGUCAUUUUCCACAAUCAAAAUCAAAAUCAAAAUCAAAGUUACUUUAACUCUGAAAUCAAACGCACUUUAAAUGUUUAGUCCGUUAGAUAGUUUUGAUUCAAAAUCAUGAUUUUGAGGUUAAUUACAUUAAAUCAGUACACAUGGCACCUCCUGAGUGGUCGAAUAAUAUUUUUAAUUUUUAAAACUUUCAAAAAAUAAAAUAAAAAUAAAAAGGUGAAAACUAAUAGCACUUAAAAAUAAAAAAAUAAUAAUAAAUGAAGGGAAGAUCGGACUAGCUAAAGGAAGAAUCCAAAAAUAAUUUUGGACCAGAAAAUAUUUAACGGACGAAUCGUCUAGAAAUGGUUGAGUCAAACUAAUACUUAUAGGAUUGAAGUUUAACUUUUCUUUUCACAUAGUUUUAGGGCUUUAGUAGUAAUUUUGCGGUUUUAUAAUUGCUCUGAUUGCUCGACUAUAUCAAGUCGGUGGACCAUUCUCUUCUCGGUUAGAUUUCACUUAUUUUUCUUGACAACUCUCCGCCCCCCAUCAGUUUCUCGUGUAGAUUUCCUCCCGCUUUGAAUAUUACUUCAUGCCGUGCAAAUUCGGAGGACAUGGACAUUGGUGUCUCUGGUCUGCUGCGGGUAAAGUGGAUGCAUGGCUCUCUGUGUCAUAGCAAAACAAUUUGAUGAUGCCUCACGGGGGAAAACAGAACGAAAUCAGACAACAAUAUAAGAAUGACGAAGUCGAUGCCGCAGCCAGCCAGCCAGCCAGCCGCCGCAGCAGUAAAUUCUCAGAGUACAAAGGGAAAGAAAUGGCAGCACGAGCAGAUCCACCAUUGCUGAUUAUGCUUAUCCAGCUCCAUAAGGUAAACUCUCAACCAAAACGUCAACAAUAGGACCCGCAUACUCACUCAUAGCUAAGUGACCGAACUACUUCUCAACGGCCCAUUCAUGCCCGAUCCAACUACAUUAAAUUUGGGUCCAGGGUGGAGGGUUUGAUGGGGACUCUAGUUAUUUAUGCUGACAAACACAAAACGUGGACAAAAGAGAGACAUAUUUCAUAAAUUAGAUAUUGAAUAUACAAAUGGAGAAUCUAAAUUGUUAUAAUAAUAUUAUAAAAAUAAAAUAAUGUAAGGCAACCAACAUGGGUUGGUUCAAGUGGUUAGGUGCUUGUUCCCCUUAAGCAAGGUCUCGGGUUCAAGUAUUGUAAAUGGAGAAAAUCCACGCUAGAAGAGCUUUACCCCAUAGUGGACUGAUCUGGCUUGACUGGAUUAGUCAUGUCCUAUUAGUUUUUCGGAUGUCAGGAAUCAUACCGAAAAAGAAAAUAACGUAAGGCAUGUGAUAAUUAAUGAAUUUGGCUUAUAAAAAGGCAUUAUUAAUUUAUUUAUGCUGAUAAACACAAAAUGGGGAGAAAAGAGAUAUAUUUUUCAUAAAAUAAAUAUUAUAGUUCAUAAGAUACAACAUGUAAAUAUAUAAAAAUGAAGAAUAUAAAUUGGAAUAAUAUUAUAAAAAUAAAAAUUAAUAUAAGGCAUGUGAUAAUUAACAAAUUUUGCUUAUAAAAAGGCAUGAUUUAUGUAUUCUGACGUCCAAAAUAGAGACAAAAGAUAUAUUUUUCUGCGAGUUCAAUACUAUAGUAAAUAAAAUAAAUAACGGAAGGUUUAACCAUUUUUAAAAAAACUCUUUGCAAGUUCAUUGCUCUUUCUUACAUCCUAUAUUCUUUUCAUCCAUUGCUGAAAGGAACUGGUUUAUAUAGUAAUAUCUAUAGUAUAAUAAACUAUGUAAUAGACGGCAAUAUAGAAAACAGUUGUUUCAUUUGGUCGGCCUGAAUCCCAUGUGACUAUCCAUAGACUAAUAUAUUCUUCAGGGAAUCACAAAAGAUAUACCUAGAAAUUUGAAAAUCUCAUAAAUUCGUCACGUUUCCUAUGAUAUAUAAUUAUUAUAGCUCUUCAGAAAAUAUCGAAGAUUGCAAAACUCAUGGAAGUAAUUUAUGGAAAAAAUUGAGCCUUUUUUAUUUCUUGAUCAUUUAAUAGAUUAGUUGAUGUCUUACAGAAAAGGAAUAGAUUAGUUGAUGUGGACGAAGUCAAGAAAGCAUGUGUUAAUUGAUUAACGCACAAUUAACCUUUUUUUUAUUUUCUUGAAUUUUUGUUUGAUGUUUUUGUUUGGUUAAGCAGUGAGUCGAAUAAACCACCAAAAGCUGCUUGCCCGGUGGUCCAAUAUUUCAUGUUUGGCUUGGCUAGCAAAGCCUUUGAUUGUUACUCUCGAUGUCAUCAACUUGACAAAAAAUUUCUAGCUACUCUUAUUAAUUCCAAGCCGGCUAGGAACAUUUACUUAAGUUUGAAUUUCAAUUUUCUGCGGAAUCCAUAAGUCGUAUUGCCAUUAUUUCCAUUUCAACAAUCCGUGACAGAGAGGACGCGAUGUUUAACUGCUCUUUUCUCUCGACAUUGGUAGAUACGUAUUAUUCUUUUUAUUUUCCAUAAUUUAUCGAUACAAAAAAUAACGUAUUGUGAAGCUAAAGUUUUCUAGGCCAUGCUUCUCCAUAUUGCCGAUCAAUGGACUAGCAAAAACCCAUUAAUUGCCCUAGAAAAUAAAAAGGCACCAAAAAUUCUACUGAAUGGAGGAAUCGAAUCCAAAAACUCUCUGAUUUCAUACAUUAUGUUUAAGCAUUGUUUCCUAUAUCUGUAUUUGUGACGGAUGCGUGAGGCUCCAGGGCGUCAUGGAGGAUCGACUUUGUCCGCUGAACUGUCUGAGCCUCCGAUGAGUAACAGUAACCUAAGCUUCUUCUUCCUAUGUUAGUUUGUCUAAUUUUGUACUGCGGUUGUGUUACUGGACUGUAAUUCUUUUUUGGUGUGCGUCUUGGCAUUUAGAAGUCCAAAGAGCUCCGACUAAUUUAGUUCAAGUUAGGUCGGUCCAUUAAAGGAUGAAGCUUUCCAAGCGUAAAAUUUCUUCAUUCACAAGACUCGAACUUGAGACAUUGUUUAAAGCAAACAAAUGCUGAAUCAGUUGAACCAACCCUCGUUGAUUGUUGUAUUAGUGUAACCUUGUAACAUUUGAUCUAUUUUAUUUUUUCGAUAAAUAAAAUUUAU